CUGGCAACUGGCCAGGUCCACUGGGUGGGACAGAGUGUGAGGCAAAGUGGAGGAGUUUGGGGCUUUGAGCUGGAAUCCCAAAGAGAAUUGUGAUGACGUUAAAAGAAACAAAGCAGUCAAGGGGACUUUCAGGGAUGGAAUGCUUGGGUCAGCUCUGGACAUGCUGCGUGUGGGUCCUGGGGGGACAUCUAGAUGGAGCUACCCAUCAGGUAAUUGGAAAUGCCAAUUCGGAUCCCAGGACAGAGGUAGCAGUGAGGAAGUACACUUGCAAGUGUCCCAUGUUGAGGUGAUUAUUUGAAGCAGUGAGCAUAGAUGAGAAAAAGUUAGCCAAGGUCAUGAUAUAAAUGUACCUGGUCCAAGCAUGGUAUGCAGGAUAUCUGAAUAUGCACAGAUCCUAAGGUAUGUCCUGAAAGUAGGUCUGCUUUACUAAAUCUUUUGAUCAGCAGUUUUCUUGAGGUUUUCACAUUUACUUAAGUAGUGUGUGUUGGCAGGGGUUGAAAAAUACACGCGAGACCUGAUCAAUGAAAGCUUUGCUGUGGGUGUGACCUAUGUCCUGUAACUUGCUCAAACUUCUCAGGGAGGGAAACUUUAAGUACCCAAGUUAAGAACUAUGAAUGCAGACAAUUCUCUGUCUGGGAGCGGAAGAUCCAACCUUUAGAGGCCAUCAGUCCUCAGGCCACGACUCCUCAGGCCACAUACCUGUUACAAGAGGCUUCAUAUGGUUUGGCUCUGUGUCCCCACCCAAAUCUCAUCUCAGAUUGUAAUCCAAGGAGGGACCCAGUAGGAGGUGAUUGGGUCAUGGGGGAGGUUUCCCCCAUGGUGUUCUUGUAAUCAUGAGUGAGUUCUCAUGAGAUCUGUUUAUUUAUUUAUUUUUUUAUUUUUAUUUUUAUUUUUUUUUGAGACAGAGUCUCGCUUAGUCGCCCAGGCUGGAGUGCAGUGGCGCGAUCUCGGCUCACUGCAAGCUCCGCCUCCCAGGUUCACGCCAUUCUCCUGCCUCAGCCUCCGAGUAGCUGGGACUACAGGCGCCCGCCACCACGCCCGGCUAGUUUUUUUGUAUUUUUAGUAGAGACGGGGUUUCACCAUGUUAGCCAGGAUGGUCUCGAUCUCCUGACCUCGUGAUCCGCCCGCCUCGGCCUCCCAAAGUGCUGGGAUUACAGGCUUGAGCCACCGCGCCCGGCCUAAUUUGAUGUUUUCUGUAAGACUGUGGCUGAACUGAAUUUCAUCUUUUUUCCAACUUUUAUUUUAGAUUUGGUGUAUAUGUGAAGAUUUGUUACAAGGGUAUAUUGUGUGACGCUGAGUUUUGGAGUACAAUUGAACCCAUCACCCAGGUAAUGAGCUUACCGAGAGUAAAUUUCCCAAUAGGAAGUUUUUCAAACCUUGUCCCCUCCUGCCCCCUCCUGUAGUCCCCAGUGUCUGUUUUUCCCGUCUUUGGGUCAAUGUGUACCCAGUGUUUAGCUCCCACUUAUAAGUGAGAAUAAGCAGUAUUUGGUUUUCUGUUUCUGUGUUACAAAUUUCAUCUUUGAUUAAAAGAAUCUUGUAAAACC
rnacentral:lncRNA from 1 species